rnacentral:rRNA from 1 species
AUUGAACGCUGGCGGCAGGCUUAACACAUGCAAGUCGAACGAUGAAACUCUAGCUUGCUAGAGAUGAUUAGUGGCGGACGGGUGAGUAACAUUUAGGAAUCUGCCUAGUAGUGGGGGAUAGCUCGGGGAAACUCGAAUUAAUACCGCAUACGACCUACGGGGGAAAGGGGGCGCAAGCUCUUGCUAUUAGAUGAGCCUAAAUCAGAUUAGCUAGUUGGUGGGGUAAAGGCCCACCAAGGCGACGAUCUGUAACUGGUCUGAGAGGAUGAUCAGUCACACCGGAACUGAGACACGGUCCGGACUCCUACGGGAGGAAGCAGUGGGGAAUAUUGGACAAUGGGGGCAACCCUGAUCCAGCCAUGCCGCGUGUGUGAAGAAGGCCUUUUGGUUGUAAAGCACUUUAAGCAGGGAGGAGAGGCUAAUGGUUAAUACCCAUUAGAUUAGACGUUACCUGCAGAAUAAGCACCGGCUAACUCUGUG